GCGGGGAUAGCUCAGUUGGGAGAGCGUCAGACUAGCGGUCUGAAGGCCGCGUGUUCGAAUCACGCUCCUCGCA